AUUGAACGCUGGCGGCAUGCCUUACACAUGCAAGUCGAACGGCAGCACGGGAGCAAUCCUGGUGGCGAGUGGCGAACGGGUGAGUAAAGUAUCGGAACGUGCCCAGUCGUGGGGGAUAACGUAGCGAAAGUUACGCUAAUACCGCAUACGAUCUAUGGAUGAAAGCGGGGGAUCGCAAGACCUCGCGCGCUUGGAGCGGCCGAUAUCAGAUUAGGUAGUUGGUGGGGUAAAGGCUCACCAAGCCGACGAUCUGUAGCUGGUCUGAGAGGACGACCAGCCACACUGGGACUGAGACACGGCCCAGACUCCUACGGGAGGCAGCAGUGGGGAAUUUUGGACAAUGGGCGAAAGCCUGAUCCAGCCAUGCCGCGUGCAGGAUGAAGGCCUUCGGGUUGUAAACUGCUUUUGUACGGAACGAAAAGGUUUGGGCUAAUAAGCUGAGCUCAUGACGGUACCGUAAGAGUAAGCACCGGCUAACUACGUGCCAGCCGCCGCAGUAA
rnacentral:rRNA from 1 species